rnacentral:rRNA from 1 species
GACCGCGACCCCAGGUCAGGCGGGAUUACCC